rnacentral:lncRNA from 1 species
UCCUCGAAAGGUCAUAACUUCACGUGGCCUUGCCACAUCACGCGAUCCUAUCCAAACACCAUUACCCAUGAAGCACCUCAAGUCACCAUGCUCAACACGAUCUACACGCGCAGAUUGAGGUCUGAAACCUCGCAGUCCACCACACCCACGGUGAACCAAGUAUUAUACACUAUUCAAUCCUGAAAAGGACACGACCGGUGCGCUAUUCUCCGAGCAACAACCCAAUACGAAUUUUCCUAGGAAACCAGGAAGCAAGGCAUACAAAGUAACAUAUAGAAAACUAUUCCCCAC